rnacentral:lncRNA from 1 species
AUGGUGUCGACCACUGGACCGGAGGAGACGGCGUCGACCACUGGACUGGAGGAGACGGCUUCGACCUCUGGACUGGAGGAGACGGCAUCGACCACUGGACCGGAGGAGACGGCGUCGACCACUGGACUGGAGACGGCGUCAACCACUGGACCGGAGGAGACGGCAUCGACCACUGGACUGGAGACGGCGUCGACUACUGGACUGGAGAUGGCGUCGACCACGGGACAGGAGACGCCGUCGACCCCUGGACUGGAGGAGACGGCGUCGACUACUGGACUGGAGAGGGUGUCGACUACUGGACUGGAGAGGGCGUCGACCUCUGGACCGAAGGAGACGGCGUCGACCACUGGACCGGAGGAGACGGCGUCGACCACUGGACUGGAGACGGCAACGACCACUGGACCAGAGGAGAUGGCGUCAACCACUGGACCGGAGGAGAUGGCGUCAACCCCUGGACCGGAGGAGACGGCGUCGACCCCUGGACUGGAGGGCGCGUCGACCUCUGGACUGGAGGGAGCAUCGGCCUCUGGACACGAGGGAGCGUCGGCCUCUGGACAUGAAGGAGCUUCGACCUCUGGACACGAAGGAGCGUCGACCUCUGGACACGAAGGAGCGUCGACCUCUGGACACAAAGGAGUGUCGACCUCUAGACACGGGGGAGUUUUGACCUCUGGACACGAGGGAGCGUUGACCUCUGGACACGAGGGAGCGUCGACCUCUGGACACGAGGGAGCGUCGACCUCUGGAGUGGAUGAGGCGUCGACCUCUGGAGUGGAUGAGGCGUCGACCUCAGGACACGAGGUGGCGUCGACUUCAGAACACGAGGAGGCGUCGACUUCGGAACACGAGGAGGCGUCGACUUCAGAACACGAGGAGGCGUCAACUUCAGAACACGAGGAGGCGUCGACUUCAGAACAUGAGGAGGUGUCGACUUCGGAACAUGUGGAGGCAUCAACCACAGCACUGGAAGAGGCGUCGACCACAAGACUGGAAGAGGGGUCGACCACAGGACUGCACGAGGCGUCGACCAUAGGACUGGACGAGGCGUCGACCACAGGACUGGACGAGGUGUCGACCACAGGACUGGAUAAGGCGUCGACCACAGGACUGGAUGAGGCGUUGACCAUAGGACUGGAAGAGGUGUUGACCACAGGACUGGAAGGGGCGUUGACUUCAGGACUGGGGGCGUCGACCACAGGACUGGAAGGGGCAUUGACUUCAGGACUGGGGGCAUCGACCUCCAUCGACUUCUGGUCUGGGGGCGUCGAUUUCUGGUCCGGAAGCUUCGACUGCUGGUCCGGGAGCGUCGGCUUCUGGUCCGAGAGCAUCGGCUUCUGA